CUGCCUCCACUGAUAGACUGGGAACAGUUUGUGGUUCUUUUGGUUUGCACUAGGAUGCAAAAGUAAAGUAUCCCUGUGCUUUCUGUCUGUGUGGCAGCCUAGAUUGAAUGGGGGAGUACAUCA
ensembl:snoRNA